AUAGGCUGCAGAGAAAAUAAAGGCUUUCAAGAACAAGUCGUCACAAAAUCGUUUGAAACAAGUGUUUUCUAUUAUCUUGAAGCUGGUGCAAAUAUAAUAAUCACAUCUUAGCAGGUGUGGAAUCCACGAGAAAGAAUUCUCUAUUGGUUGUUGAUAAUAUUUGACAAUAUGGAUUGAAAUUUUUGGUAUUUGACAAUAUGAAGUUAUAGAUUUAAUGUAUGUCAAAUAAUUGAAAUGUAUGGAUUUACUUUUAUAUUUGGUUGUUUUAAAAUACAGAUUUAAUGUAUGUUUAAAAAAUUUGUGUUCAAUAUGUAAAUUACUUUUAGUUUUUAA